ensembl:lncRNA
CUUGAAGAUAGAUAGAGGCAGGAGACGGGCCAGCAACAUGGUGGCAAGAAGAAAAAGUAAAGCAAUGUUUCAGAAGUGAAUCUGAGGGAAUUUUCUCUGCUUCUUUCCUCUAACUGGAGGGCACUAGUUCAGCAACAAACAUGGGGAACCCAGAAACCAGAACCCUGAUGAAACUCUCAGAAAGCUUAAGGUCACCCUGGUUCUGGACAUGUGCCAAAAAGUUUUACCUGAAAGAAGCAUGGGCCAUGCUGCUACUGCUGCUCUGACAGCUGAGUUCCUUGAGGCUCCUGAUACCAAGAAGACCCACAAAACUUCAUCCUGAAAAGAGGAUUUUAUUUCAAGGCUAUGAUUUUUGUUUGAAAUAAGUGUCCUAUCUUUAGAAGG